rnacentral:rRNA from 1 species
GACGAACGCUGGCGGCGUGCUUAACACAUGCAAGUCGAACGGUAAGGCUCCAGCUUGCCGGGGUACACGAGUGGCGAACGGGUGAGUAACACGUGGGUGACCUGCCCUGCACUUCGGGAUAAGCCUGGGAAACUGGGUCUAAUACCGGAUAGGACCAUGGUGUGGAUACUGUGGUGGAAAGUUUUUUCGGUGUGGGAUGGGCCCGCGGCCUAUCAGCUUGUUGGUGGGGUAAUGGCCUACCAAGGCGGCGACGGGUAGCCGGCCUGAGAGGGUGGACGGCCACAUUGGGACUGAGACACGGCCCAGACUCCUACGGGAGGCAGCAGUGGGGAAUAUUGCACAAUGGGCGGAAGCCUGAUGCAGCGACGCCGCGUGGGGGAUGACGGCCUUCGGGUUGUAAACUCCUUUCACCAUCGACGAAGGGUUUCUGACGGUAGAUGGAGAAGAAGCACCGGCUAACUACGUG